rnacentral:rRNA from 1 species
UACGGAGGGUGCAAGCGUUAAUCGGAAUUACUGGGCGUAAAGCGCACGUAGGUGGUUUGCUAAGCCAGCUGUGAAAUCCCCGGGCUCAACCUGGGCACUGCAGUUGGAACUGGCAAGCUAGAGUAGGGUAGAGGGGUGUGGAAUUCCAGGUGUAGCGGUGAAAUGCGUAGAUAUCUGGAGGAACAUCUGUGGCGAAGGCGACACCCUGGACUCAUACUGACACUGAGGUGCGAAAGCGUGGGGAGCAAACAGG